AGCGAACGCUGGCGGCAGGCCUAACACAUGCAAGUCGAACGAGCCUUUCGGGGUUAGUGGCGGACGGGUGAGUAACACGUGGGAACGUGCCUUUAGGUUCGGAAUAACUCAGGGAAACUUGUGCUAAUACCGAAUGUGCCCUUCGGGGGAAAGAUUAAUCGCCUUUAGAGCGGCCCGCGUCUGAUUAGCUAGUUGGUUGAGGUAAUGGCUCACCAAGGCGACGAUCAGUAGCUGGUCUGAGAGGAUGAUCAGCCACAUUGGGACUGAGACACGGCCCAAACUCCUACGGGAGGCAGCAGUGGGGAAUCUUGCGCAAUGGGCGAAAGCCUGACGCAGCCAUGCCGCGUGAAUGAUGAAGGUCUUAGGAUUGUAAAAUUCUUUCACCGGGGACGAUAAUGGCGGUACCCGGAGAAGAAGCCCCGGCUAACUUCGUG
rnacentral:rRNA from 1 species